AGAGUUUGAUCCUGGCUCAGGAUGAACGCUGGCGGCGUGCCUAACACAUGCAAGUCGAACGAAGCACCCGCGCGGAUUCCCCCGGGAUGAAGCGCGGAUGACUGAGUGGCGGACGGGUGAGUCACGCGUGGGCAACCUGCCCCGUGCCGGGGGACAACAGCCGGAAACGGCUGCUAAUACCGCAUGAUCCGGGAGGGCCGCAUGGCCCUGCCGGGAAAGCUCCGGCGGCACGGGAUGGGCCCGCGUCUGAUUAGUUUGUUGGCGGGGUAACGGCCCACCAAGACUGCGAUCAGCAGCCGGCCUGAGAGGGCGGCCGGCCACAUUGGGACUGAGACACGGCCCAGACUCCUGCGGGAGGCAGCAGUGGGGAAUAUUGCACAAUGGGGGAAACCCUGAUGCAGCGACGCCGCGUGGGCGACGAAGCGCUCCGGCGCGUAAAGCCCUGUCAGCAGGGAAGAACAAAGACAGUACCUGACCAAGAAGCCCCGGCUAACUACGUGCCAGCAGCCGCGGUAAUACGUAGGGGGCAAGCGUUAUCCGGAUUCACUGGGCGUAAAGGGGAGCGCAGGCGGCACGGCAAGUCUGGUGUGAAAGCCCGGGGCCCCACCCCGGGACUGCAUUGGAAACUGCCGGGCUGGAGCGCCGGAGGGGUAAGCGGAAUUCCUGGUGUAGCGGUGAGAUGCGCAAGAUAUCAGGAAGAACACCGGUGGCGUAGGCGGCUUACUGGACGGCAACUGACGCUGAGGCUCGAAAGCGUGGGGAGCAAACAGGAUUAGAUACCCUGGUAGUCCACGCCGUAAAC
rnacentral:rRNA from 1 species